GAUGCUGUUAACAAAAGAACAACAAGGAGUCAUUUGUUUCACUCAGGAGUACAAUGUUGGCUUGGAAAAGCAACAUAAGGCAUUCAAAUGCUUCAUUUAUCAUUUGGCGUAAUUUGCUUGUGCCCGCUAUGAACUUAGAUUUUCAUUUGUAUGAUACAGAUGCAUUCCAUCAGUAAAAAGUCUAAAACAAGCAGAAUUUGAUAGAAUACGAAAUCAAAGAUUUACCUGCUAGGUAUGCUGAGGUCUUGCCAGUGCCCGUUUUUCAUGAUCUUCACCUGGGCGAGCUGACCAAUGUUCCUGAAUUGAAAUGUUUGAGCUUUUCAUCAGCAUAAGCAGAUUCAGAUUAGAACUUCCAGAAUCUAGAUGUGGUAUUGCGUGAUAAAAGUUUCGAAAGGUUAGUUAAAAGUGGAUCAAACUCUUGUAGAAGUUUACUUACUCAGCAGCCGGAUGAAAGAGAGAAGCAGCAAACCAUCCUUGUGUGCAUCCGAGCUUCAUGUAAGUACUCUGCAAGAGAGAAACAUAAGGAUGCAGCUUGCGCUCGGAAUGGAAUGCGUAUGAUACCUGAGCGUCCAUUCCUGUUAAAACACGAAGAUGCAAAGGAGAUAGAGAUGGGAAUGUAUAGGUCCAUAGGAAACUGUAUAUAGCAUGUGUUGUAAAAGCAAUUUACGAGUGCUACGAGCAGAUUGCUAUCAUUGUUUAGGAAGAAUUCGGUCUUACCCAUGCUGAAGUAGUUCCAGAAUCCGCCUCGAAACGUGUGAUAACCUUCCUGUGGGUCGAUCCAACAAGCAUAUGUACCAGAUGGUUAGAGGACGGUGGUUGUCUAUUGAAUGUAACCGUUUGAGGUAAGAAGGUACAGAAGGCAGUAGUAUAGCAUUCUUGCCAUGCUCAGUUCGUCCGUUGUAGAAACACGAGAAAACGCAUGCAGAGAAUGUGGCAGGUCAAGGGGCGCAAUGGGAUCGAACGAACCCUCUUUAGGAGCCUUCAUCCGCAUCAGAAUAUGCCAACUGCGUCACUCAUUCGUGAUCAAUUUCAAUAAUGAACUGCCUAUCUUUUGUUAUAACAAGUGAACAUAUACAGUCGCAGAAGUUGAAGUCGUAAA